rnacentral:lncRNA from 1 species
CCAGAGCAGGUCUCUGAUGGGGCAGCUGGAAGGGUGGGUCGUGGGCCUGGACCAGGGCUUUCUGGUACCUGCUUGGUGCCAAGGCCACUUCUUCGCCUGACAUGAGGCAUCUGUCAGCCAAGGACUCCCAAGGACAUGGCUGAGCCACUCAGAAACACAGCCACUCCCGAGGGUGAAGAGAGCACUUUGGAAGCCAUGUCACCUCCAUGACCAAGUGAUCAAACCAAUCAGGACAGAGCUGGAGGGUGGGGGUGGGGUUGAGGACUUGCCCAGUCUCCUUGUCUAGUCCUGUAUUCCUUUCUCCUAAGAAA